AAUUAUUCUCAGAAAAUAACGAAAAAAAGGUGACCUACCUCUUACGCAAGUCGAUGGUGUGCCCUCUUCGCUUGACCAAUGUUAUCGGAAAACUGUCACUUUCAACUCCAAUACAAUGUCGUCCUCGAUCUACGCUGGCCGUUCAAUGCUUCGUCUUUGUGGAGGUAAGAACCAAAGACGAGAAUGUGAUUAGAGAGAUAUUUUGUUUUCAAAAGAAUGAUGGAAUAGAGUACAAUGAAAUAAGGUUGGAAAAUAAAGUAUUGUAAGGAGUGACCCAAAAAAUAACCCAUUGAAGCUUUUGCUGAAAUCUCACACUAACAGACCAUCUCUGCAUAUAUCCUUCGUCAGUCCACCGGCAACGAACUCUUCAGCCCUCCUCAAUCAAGGUUUGGAUCUUGUCAUUUUGUUUAUGUGAGAGAAUAAAAGGUAAUUUUUUACUAUUAAUUUUAUAAAUAAAACUAAAAAAUAUAUAUGAGAAAAAACGUUAAAAAAUAAAGAUUACACCUUACUCUUUUAAUUGAAAAAAAAAAAAAUGAGAGAUCCAUUUUCCUCAACACCGUUCGUCAGCUUGGAAUUGGUGCUGCCGUCGCCGUUGCGUCACUUCAAAGUUCUCAAUUGUCAAUUGUGAAUUUGUGAUAGACGUUGGUGGUGGAGGUUUGGGUUGAGAUGGUGGUAGUAAUAUGGGGGUAAAAUUGGCAUUGUGUAGUGUCAUGUUUUGUGCUACACCACCAAACAAGAUAAAAAUUAUGUGUAUGCUUAUGGCUAUGUCUCUAGUCUGAAG